rnacentral:rRNA from 1 species
UACGAAGGGGGCUAGGCGUUGUUCGGAAUUACUGGGCGUAAAGGGCGCGUAGGUGGCCCGUCAAGCCGCGCGGUGAAAGCCCGGGGCCUUGAACCCCGGGUCCGGCCGGUGCGGACUGGCGGCUCGAGCACUGUAGGGGCGGGUGGAAUUCCGGGUGUAGCGGUGGAAUGCGUAGAGAUCCGGAAGAACACCGGUGGCGAAGGCGGCCCGCUGGGCAGGAAGACGGGCGCAAGCCCGUCGGCUGACACUGAGGCGCGACGAGCGUGGGGAGCAACAGG